rnacentral:rRNA from 1 species
AGGCCUUCGGGUCGUAAAGCUCUGUUGUUAGGGAAGAACAAGUACCAGAGUAACUGCUCGUACCUUGACGGUACCUAACCAGAAAGCCACGGCUAACUACGUGCCAGCAGCCGCGGUAAUACGUAGGUGGCAAGCGUUGUCCGGAAUUAUUGGGCGUAAAGCGCGCGCAGGCAGUUCCUUAAGUCUGAUGUGAAAGCCCACGGCUCAACCGUGGAGGGUCAUUGGAAACUGGGGAACUUGAGUGCAGAAGAGGAGAGCGGAAUUCCACGUGUAGCGGUGAAAUGCGUAGAGAUGUGGAGGAACACCAGUGGCGAAGGCGGCUCUCUGGUCUGUAACUGACGCUGAGGCGCGAAAGCGUGGGGGGCAAACAGGAUUAGAUACCCUGGUAGUCCACGCCGUAAACGAUGAGUGCUAAGUGUUAGAGGGUUUCCGCCCUUUAGUGCUGCAGCUAACGCAUUAAGCACUCCGCCUGGGGAGUACGGUCGCAAGACUGAAACUCAAAGGAAUUGACGGGGGCCCGCACAAGCGGUGGAGCAUGUGGUUUAAUUCGAAGCAACGCGAAGAACCUUACCAGGUCUUGACAUCCUCUGACAACUCUAGAGAUAGAGCGUUCCCCUUCGGGGGACAGAGUGACAGGUGGUGCAUGGUUGUCGUCAGCUCGUGUCGUGAGAUGUUGGGUUAAGUCCCGCAACGAGCGCAACCCUUGAUCUUAGUUGCCAG